UGCCGGUGGUAACUUGAUAGGGCCCGA
rnacentral:sRNA from 1 species